rnacentral:rRNA from 1 species
GAUGAACGCUAGCGGCAGGCUUAAUACAUGCAAGACGAACGGUAACUGGUGUAGCAAUACAUUAGCAAGAGUGUCGUACGGGUGCGUAACACGUAUGCAACCUACCUUGUACAGGAGGAUAGCUCGGGGAAACUCGAAUUAACCCUCCAUGAGAUCACAGUGUGGCAUCACAUAGUGAUUAAAACUCAGGUGGUACAAGAUGGGCAUGCGUCUGAUAGUUAGUUGGCGGGGUAAUGGCCCACCAAGACGAUGAUCAGUAUCCGGCCUGAGAGGGCGCACGGACACACUGGAACUGAAACACGGUCCAGACUCCUACGGGAGGCAGCAGUGGGGAAUUUUGCGCAAUGGGGGAAACCCUGACGCAGCAACGCCGCGUGGAGGAUGAAGUAUCUUGGUACGUAAACUCCUUUCGAUUGGGAAGAUAAUGACGGUACCAAUAGAAGAAGCCCGGCUAACUUCGUGCCAGCCGCCGCCGUAAU